rnacentral:lncRNA from 1 species
CUUCUGGAAUGAAUGCCAUUCUAAAUGAUUGUGCAUCUCCAUAAAUCUAAGCUAACUCAGUAAUUCAAAAUUACUAAGAUUUAAGUUUAGUACCAAUAAGCAAUAAACUUAUGGCUACUGCUAUAAUAACUGUUGGUCGCUACACCCUUAUUUCACAGCAGGUGGUCUGCUCCAUGCUGGUUGCAGACUGAAUGAAAGCAGACAACAUUUUGAAACUAAUUCCUGAAGUUGAUGGAAGACUCCAGAGCCAUUUCAACUGGUGAAAUAGUGUUGUGUUUUGUGCAUUUUUUUUUUUGUUUUAAAUUAAAUGCUCUGAGACACUUGACCUUUCUGGCAAAUGAAGGGCAAACACUGCUUUACUCUCAUUUCAUGUCACAAUUAUAAGUCUCUAGAUAUUUAAAAUUGUCUUGAGCAGAUUGUUUUUGGUUCAUAAGCCAUUAUUUCCCUAUUAAAAAGGAAAAAUAACUUCUUUGUCAUUGAAUGGAUUUCUUUAAGUCAAUAAAGCUGAAAAAAAAGGACUUUAUUUAAUCCAUCCAUGUUUCACUCUGGAGAAGCGUUAAGACAUCUUGGUCCCUUAUUCCUAACUUCUUCAUUUAAACAUCACAUACUUCAUUUAAAAUAUAUGUUCAGGUAUAACAACUUAAAAUGUCCACUUUUAAAUGAUGAGGUAAACAUCUGGAAACUUCCUUUCCUAUUUCAUGAACAUGGGAAAUAAGACAUAGUUCCAUGCAAUCAUUGAUGGGAUUCAGCCCUCCUGGUUUUAGAAUCUUUUCUUUCUUUCUUUCUUUCUUUCUUUCUUUCUUUCUUCCUUAAUAUUGAUGAAGCGUUGUUCUGAGUUAUUAUACAAUUUAUUAAGAAAUCUCUGUUAGUAGCAAUUUGGGUGACAGAGUUUUUUGGCCUAGCUUUGUAUAAUCUGAAGCUCAAAGAUCUACUGUUUUCUUUCUUUCUUCUUCUUUUUUAAUACUUCUUUACCUGGAACAGAACCUUACACAGAAUAGUCACUUAAUAAAUCCUUUUAUCUUUUCCCUAAUUUGAAGUAAAUGGUGUACACUUAAAGGAAAAAGUGGCAUUAAGGAUAAAAGAGAGAGAGGAGGCGAUUACUGAAGUCAAAAUCUGAUGGCAGUGAUUGAAACUAAUAAAGAACAUAGGUUAAAACACUAAAUGAACAAUAAUACUGAAUAUGAAAUCAAAAGAAAUGAUUUAAGCCCUAUGGAUUCCCAUGAAACAAUAACUACAGUGUGAAAUAGUUUUGCAGAAACCUCAGUUGAAAAUGAUGUUCUAUUUAGCUAAGAUUUUUCACUGCAAAUACAAACUAUUAUAUAUAUUAAUCAUUUAAUAUUUUAAUAUAAAAUAUCAUAAAUUACAUAGUGCCUAUAUUCUUGGACAGGAAAGCAUAUUUUUAUUUUUUUUUUAAUUUGUUGUCAGCUCUUUAAAUACAAUAAUCAUAGUGGGUUCUAACAUGUGGAACCUUAUAGACUUUUGGACUACAUAUGAUUAGAAAACAUUUUUUAGAAAGUUUCCAAACUGCUGAGUUUUGACAGUUCAUUGACUUGCUUAUUUAUUGUCUUAUGAGGUCACACAUUUACUCACAUUACACUGAUACGUACAAAAAGAAUAUAUUUUCUUUAUAUUUUGCAUAAUAAACCUUAUGAGUACCAUUCUCCUGGAUGACUGGGCUCUCCAUUCCCUACCAAUCCAUUUUGGUAGCUCAGCCCCUCACAAUAAUUUAGAAUGCACCUCUAAGGAGAUGCUUAGUCUUUCAAAGUAGCACUCAUUUCUGCUGCCCAACUCCAAGACUGCAUCUGAGUACAUGGAGGAGAAAGGAGGUUCAUGUGAUCAUACGAUAGCAAAAGGAUGGUGUUAGGAUUCACAGUUCUAUCUUCUGGUCUCCUUAGUUAUGUCCCGUGCCCACCUGCUCUAUUUGCCCUCCUGGAUUUUGCAUCUUAAUUUUACUACUGUUGAACUGGUGGUUUAUUCUUUUCCAACUCAUUUGGGACCCAGCGGUCCUCCCCACUUAAUAGGACCAACCUUGGUUCUCACUGCCGUUGUAGACCCUCUGAUAUACAACUGUAAUUCCCACCUAAUUUCAGGCUCUGGCAGUCCUUGAAUCCAAGAUCAGUUUGCUCCAAGUGAACCUUUUCUGGCAACAUCACAGUUAUAUCUUGGCUCACAUUUGUGGGUUCUUCUCCACGUUCCCAAGUGCAUAUGGAAAAUCCAGUCUCAUUCCAGCUGAGAUUGGCAUGGCAGCUGAGAUGCUUGGAGAAAGCUGUAUCAGUUUCUUCUUGGCCUAAGUAGCAAAUUUGGACAGUUUUUUGUUUUGUUUUCUUUUGCUCUGUUAAUGGUUGCCCCCAAGUUGGUACAAAAAUAGCCUUAGUGGAAUAUCCUCUUUAAACAUUGAAGUGGGGAUAAAACCAUCCCAUUGACCCAUCCUGCCCAUGUUCUCUCUGCCCAUGUUGGAAGCUCUGAAGGGAAGUUUGUGCUACAAGCAGCUCUCUCCUAAGUGCUCUUCUUUUGUUCAACUUCCUUCCACAUUUUUCUGAAACUAGAAUUUGCUUGUCUCUUUUUUUCUUCCCUGGAUGAGAUACUUCUUUAUAUUAUAUUCUCCUUCUUCCUUAGGUGAAAGAUGAGUGUACCCAUUCCCAGGUGUUGUAAUGACAAAUGACUGCAAAGAAGGAGACUAGGACUUCCUGUUAAAGGAAAAGAAUAAAAGGUACUUCCUUUCCUUCUUUAUUGUCAGGCUGUCACCUGUAACUUCUUGCAGGAUCUAAGUGCCUAGUGCUGUAAUUUCACCGGCACAUACAGAUAUGAUCAUAGUACUUGUUACCUAUCGAAAUUCUUUUAUACCCAUUGGUAAAUGGGCACUGUUCUAGUUCUUCACUGUUACCCAGGCUACUAUCCUGGGACAUCUAGACUUUCCCAGGACUUCGUAAUAAAAGAGUAAUGCCUAGAAUAUCAGGGGAACUUCAGAACUCUGCUCCAACAUCAUGGCUGACAUUAUUUCUGACUAAUCGUUGCCUUUGCUGUUCAUGCCAUACAUACAAGGUGAAUAUCACCCUUGCGUGUUCUUAUGUGCAGUUAUUCCACUGCUUACGACGUACUGUGAGUGUAAGUGCCAAACAAUCAAUACAACCUACAAGCUCACUAGAAUCCAUUUGUCCCACAAUGAUCUGGUUAAAUUCAGUAUGAACGCUACUUCCAUGGUCUGGUGAGAGUGAGGACCCUUCUCAUGAUAUGUGAGGUUUCUACGAUUGGCAUCUCAUGCUUCUCCUUGCCUUGGUACUCCCUCUUCUGCAUGUCUGCAUUUAAGGGAGCCUUAAAAUGAACUCCCUUCUCUAGAUACUACAAAAUCCACUUGCAUUUAAAUGUUGUUUAGGCAUUGCAAAUUUAGUAAAGAUUUGGAGUCAUAGGGAAAAUUCACACUGUGGCAUGCACAGCCUGCUACCCAGUAUUCUGGCUCUUUAUACCUCAGUUCCCCGGAACAACAAAUUCUUUCUGCUUUCAUAGACACCUCUAUUCAUAUUUGUGCUUAACGAAUCACUUUCUAGGGACACCUGGGUGGCUCAGUCAGUUAAACAUCUGACUUUGGCUCAGGUCAUGAUCUCACUGUUCCUGAGUUUGAGCCCUGCAUCGGGCUGUAAUGACAGCCCUGAGCCUGGAGCCUGCUUCAGAUUCUGUGUCUCCCUUGCUCUGUGCCCCACCCCGACUUGUACUGGGUCUCUCUCUGUCUCUCAAAAAUGAAUAAAUGUUAAAAAAAAUUUUUUUAAAGGAAUCACUUUCUACCCAAAUAUACAUUUCAAAGAACAUACUCAAGCAGGGUGUUUGUUCUAGCGAGUUCUUACACUGACUGUUAAUAUAAUUUAUACAUAUUAUUAUACAAAUGUGUUAGAAUUGUACACAAGUCAUGUAUAAUAGGUUUCUAUAAUUUACUAUAUUUUUGGAUGUAGCUGAAUUAAUUUAUUUUAAUUAUUAAUAAAUCAUUUUGAAUACUCCACAAUUUCUUCAUUCUCCUCCAAUGAUACGCUACUAUAAAUGAUAUUAUUUUAAUUAUUCUUAUACCUGUCUCCUGAAAGUUAACUUCUAUUUUCAUAUACCAUAUCCAGAAGUUUAGAGAAAAGGCUACACAGGACUAGAAAAUCCUGCUUUAGAUGGAGGCUUUGUUGGAAUGAGAUUUUCAGCUGUCUCCUUUUGGAAGGGAAGGGAAUAUGUUCUGCAUGUGGGACAAAGAUUUACAUGAUUAUUUGGUGACUAGGAAAAUCAAUUUGUGCUUCAGACUGGCUAGCUAUUUUAAAACUCACUUUUUCAGGGUGUCUGUGUGGCUCAGUGGGUUGAGCAUCUGACUUUGGCUCAGGUCAUGAUCUCACGGUUUGUGAGUUAGAGCCCUGCAUCGGGCCCUGUGCUGACAGUGCAGAUUCUGCUUCAGAUUCUGUGUCUCCCUCUCUCUCUCUCUGUCCCUCCCCUGCUCACACUUUGUCUCUCUCUCUCUCUCUCCCAAGAAUGGAUAAACAUUAAAAAAAAAAUUUAAAAAACCCAAAAACUCAUUUUCUCUUCCUUCUGAGACCAUAACUUCACUCCAUUUUCCAGCCUAUCUUAGAGUUUAGUGGGUACUUGACUAAGGUCUGGUAAAAGGAAGUAAUAUGUACCAUUGUUAGAACUGGUCCAUAAAAUACUCCCAUAUGAGGUUUACUUUUUCUCUUUUUUUAAAAAAAGUUUAUUUAUUUUGAGAGAGAGAGAACAAGAGAAGGGCAGAGAGAGAGGGAGAGAGUGAAUCCCAAGCAGGUUUUACCCUGUCAGAGUAGAGCCCUAUGCAGGGCUUGAUCCCAUGAAGCAUGAGAUCAUGACCUGAGCCAAACUCAGUUGGAUGCUUAACUGGCUGAACCACCCAGGCACUUAGAUUCACUUUCUCUUCUUCUUUCCUCAGUCACCUUAAAACCCACAUAUUAAAGGUACCAGAAUCCUGAAAUGGAAGAGGACCUGAAUCCCUGAAUGAGUGCUUGAAAGAGAGACUCCUACAGAUCAAUGCUACCCAUUUUGACAUUACAUGGGCAAGAAAUAAACUUCUGUUGUGUUUAAGGCAUUAUAUUGUUGGGUUGUUUUGCUUUUGCAUUUCACAUUUUCUAAAUAAUAUACCUUCACUCACUCUAAGGUUCCCACUCUUAUUUUUUUACGUUUUUGUUUUAAUUCCAUUUAGUUAAUAUACAUUGUUAUAUUACUUUUAGGUAUACAAUGUAGUGGUUCAACAAUUCCAUACAUCACCCAGUGCUCAUUACAAGGGCACUCCUUAAUCCCCAUCACCUAUCUUACCCCCCCACCCCUGGGUAACCAUCAGUUUGCUCUCUGUAGUUAAGAGUUUGUCUCUUCAUUUCUUUAUCUCUUCUUCCUUUCACUCAUUUGUUUGUUUCAUAAAUUCCACACAUGAGUAAAAUCAUAUGGUAUUUGCCUUUCUCUGACUGACUUAUUUUGCUUAGCAUUAUAGUCCCUGCAUGCCUUUUAUGUCAUUGCCAAUGGCAAGAUUUCAUUCUUUUUUUAUAGCUGAAUAAUAUUCCAUUGCUCUUUAUCCAUUCUCUUUAUCCAUUCAUCAAUUGAUGACAUCUGUUCUUCAUCCAUUCAUCAAUUGAUGGACACUUGGGCUGCUUCCAUAUGUUGGCUAUUUUUUUAAAUAAUGCUACAAUAAACAGAGGGGUGCAUGUAUCUCCUUGAAUUAGUAUUUUUGUAUUCUUUGGGUAAAUGUCAAGUAGUACAAUUGCUGGAUCAUAGGAUAGUUCUGUUUUUAACUUUUUGAGAAAUAAGAUUCCCACUCUUUAAAACGUACAUAGCAAAAACCAUCCUGCAAGGUUGUUAUGAGAAACGUACCAAGUGAAAAGUGUCUAGUAUAAUAUUCAGCAUAGUGAUGCUUGAUAAAUAAAUGCUUGUCCUUUUUAUUUUAAGAAGUUUUUGAACAUGGAAGAGGCAUUAGACUUCUCCCUAGCUAAUUCCUCCACUUUCAAGGAGAACAUUGAGAUGUAUAAAGGAUUAUUACGUAUUUUCUUAAACAUUUUUGUGUUCUGAGGUUCAGAGCUUUCCAGUAGGAUUCUGAACAUAAAAUUGUGGUGUAACUAAAAGGAAAAUAGAAUUUUCACCAAGACUUUCAUCAUCCUCCUGAAAGCAGUCUAUUAAGUAAGCAAAGAAGAGGCAUUGUUUGAUAAACAUCUUUCUUACAAGUAUGGAGUGGCCACUUCCUAACCUUGAACAUAGUUAAGAAAAAGAGAAAAGAAAGUGAUCAUGCUAUGACUUUUUCUACUUCCCCUUGAACGUUCUGGGAACUUUACACUGGUGUAUAGUGUAAAUAAGUGCUUUGCUUUGUGGCCAUGAGAGGAGAGGAGUUGCAGCAAUGGCUGAAGGAACAGGGGAUUCAGAUAAACAUUAGCUACUUACAAGAAAAAUUUUAGCCCUGCUCCAUAUCUUAUUUGCAGCCAAAUACUUUUCACUCCUAGCAUAAAUAUAAUGGAAUCCUUAAGUCAGGAAAUGUUUAAUGACCAAAAAUUUCAGUUCAGUUCUCAAAUUUUAGGUUCCUUUUUGCCUUUGUUUCAUGAUUGCUUUGAUUUCUUCACUUUUUUGUCUCACACAAUGAUAACUUUCAUUAUUUCUACAAUGUGAUAAAUUCUAUCACUAAUCUAGUGACUACCACUGCUUAGAAUAUCACUGGAGCAUAGAUUUGGAUCAAAGCGACAGCAGUUUUAAUGGACAAUUUACUCAGAAAUGGCCAUGUGGUUGGGUUGAAAUGUUACAGGCUGUUCAGUAAGAGCUUUCCAUCUUUAAUUGAUUUUGUUAUCUGUACUUGAUGUUACAGAGUGUUCUCAGGUCUUUAGUCUUAAAGAUUUCACCUUAUACUCAGCAUGAGCAUAUUUCCAGUUCAGAGAUCACAGGAAAGCAUUUUCACUUCCAAGAUCACCUAAAUUAUACCUUGUUCUGCUACAUCAAUUCUGGGCAAUGUUUCCUUCACCUUGAACUUAUUUCUCAUUUGAUUACUUUUCCUGUCACUUACCUCACUGUUGCAAAACUUCCUUUUCUUUUCUUCAAAUAAUGUAAUAUCUGUUCUAGCCUUUAUCCAAGCAGAGUUCUUUCUGCUCCAUGUGCAGAUUCUGUAACAUUAUAUAAAAGUCAUGACUAUCUUCUUAUUUGAAAUUUUUUUCUUGCAAAUGCUUAAUAUACACAUCAUACUCUUUAUAAUCUUCUUCCUUGAAAACAUUCUCAUCUGCAACAAAAUCUCAGAAUCUGGAUCAUAUUUAUUUUUUUCCACUUUUUUUUACCAUUGACAUAAGAGGCUACCAAAACUUGGCUACCAUCUAUUCCUUAAGAAGAUAAUUGAAAAAGACAUUCUUGGGUUAUAAAUCUAAAAACAGACUGGGAGAUUAUUUACAUAUCAAAGAAGCAGAGAAAGAAUUUCUAAUUGCAAAUUUUCCAAAGCAAGUGAUUUAGGAAAACGCGGGUUAGGAGAAAAUGUCAGGAAGAAACCUGUCUAAAAUUUAGCCAUAUUGAUCAAGAAUCUGUGAAGAUGGAAUUGGUCUCUCAGUUUGGUAGGCCAAAGGUAAAUCUGAUAUAUUCUUUUUUGUCUCUUGGGUAAUCUAAAUGUCCUCAGAGAAGUGUCUGGUGAAUUACUGGAAUAGAAAGGACGCUUGAAAGAUAGUUUCUUCUCAGCAGCCCAGUAAUACUCAUUUAUGAAAUGUUCACUAUGAACAUUUUGCAAUUAUGCUAAAUUCAUAAAUUUCUUUGGUGAAAACAGAUUUUAAAAAGGAAAUAGAGUAGAUUUGUGAAAAAGAUUUGGAUGGGCCUCAAAAGGCUUGUAUUCUCAAAGUUUUUGAAAUGGGUUUUUUAUGGGAGCCAAGAUUGUUGUAAAAUAAAGAUCAUAUACGUGAUUUCAUUUUUAAAAAAUCUAUAAUUUGCAAAGUUUGACAAUUGCCCAAAAGUUUCAAUUUUGUAUCUUACAGAUGAGGAAAGAGAUGAAAAGAAAUAAUGAUUGACCAAAGUCUGGUGGUUAUGGUUACAUAUUUUGGAUAAAACAUACCAAGGUAAGAAUUCUAGAUCUUUGGCUUACUAUUUGAUUUUGGGCAAGUUAUUUACCUUCUCUUAAUCUGUAAAAUGUAGAAAAUAUUAUCUAUCUUAUAAGGUUUUUGUGUAUACUGGAGGACAUAACAUCUCUAAAGCACAACUCUGACUCAUAAACUUUCAAGAAAUGGUAAUGAUUAUGAAGGUUUUGGCAAUAAUCACCAUUUAUGUGACACAACCUAAAUUAGAGAUUAUGCUUGCCAUCUUGAUGGGCACAAAGUCUAAGUAUUGCAGAGUUAAAAAUCAUAAGCUCAAAUAUAUUUCCAGGGCUAGGCUCAUAAGCACAAUAAGAUUACAAAACAAUUUCCAUGUUUUUCAUGGAUUUAAGAGUAGUUUAUAAAACCUAGUGAAUCAGCAUUAACAUUUUUUUUUGCCAUUUUUCCCCUUUCCAACUUGGUAAAUGUAGGUUCAAAAACAGAUAUUCUAAUUGGCUGCAGUCUUUGAGUAAAGGAAUAAUCAUAUUUGAUAUCUCUUUGGAAAGGAAUAGGAGAAAAAAAACCAAUGAAAUGAUCUUCUCUAUUCAUCUUAUCCAUAGUUAGGAGUUCUGAUACCAAAAGGAUGUUGUCAUUGAUUUGCUCAUGGGUUUGGUGACUCACAUUAACAAUAAUUCUUAUUCAUAACAAAAUUAAAUUCUCUAUGUUGUUUACUGUAGGCUUUAAGCAGACCCAGAUACACAAAUUUUACUUAGAAACAGGCUGAAAUGUCAUCUUCAUGGGAAUUGAUGUGAACAUUCUACAUCGUUUAUUUCUCAGCAAGAAAAUGUGUCAUGAUCAAAUUUCAAGUACUAAAUUUAAGUUCUUGAAGUGUUUAUUCCUAUAUUAUAUGGGAAAAAAUUGAUUGAAGAGGGAAUCAAUCCUUGAGUAAACAUCUUCACCUCAGUGGUUAUCAGUGAAUCUGUCUAGAAUAUUUAGACAUCCUGAAGUUAUUUACUGAAUUAUCCUGUAUUACAGUUCUAUGACACUGUGAUUAAUAAUUGUGUUGCUUCUGGAAGGUAGCUUAUGCUCACCACUAUGCCACCAGUGUAAUAAUUGUCUUGCUUCUGAAUAGCAAACAUGAGUAAAGAUUAUUGAGACACUUAUGGCUGAUUCCCACAUUCCAGGCACUCUUGAAGUGUUGUGAAAGAAGUAAUUGAUCUCUGCUUUCAGUACCAGUAUCUGAGGACUGGAGAUAAAUCUUUAUAUAAUAGCCUGUAGAAAUUUUACAGAGUAUAUUAGAAGUUAUUUUGAUUAGCGUGAGGUGAUACCUGAGUGUGGUUUUGAUUUGUAUUUCCCUGAUAAGGAGCGACGCUGAACAUCUUUUCAUGUGCCUGUUGGCCAUCUGGAUGUCUUCUUUAGAGAAGUGUCUAUUCAUGUUUUCUGCCCAUUUCUUCACUGGGUUAUUUGUUUUUCGGGUGUGGAGUUUGGUGAGCUCUUUAUAGUACCCCAAUGUUCAUAGCAGCACUCUCAACAAUAGCCAAAUUAUGGAAAGAGCCUAAAUGUCCAUCAACUGAUGAAUGGAUAAAGAAAUUGUGGUUUAUAUACAUGAUGGAAUACUAUGUGGCAAUGAGAAAAAAUGAAAUAUGGCCCUUUGUAGCAACGUGGAUGGAACUGGAGAGUGUAAUGCUAAGUGAAAUAAGCCAUACAGAGAAAGACAGAUACCAUAUGGUUUCACUCUUAUGUGGAUCCUGAGAAACUUAACAGGAACCCAUGGGGGAGGGGAAGGAAAAAAAAAAAAAANNNNNNNNNNNNNNNNNNNNNNNNNNNNNNNNNNNNNNNNNNNNNNNNNNNNNNNNNNNNNNNNNNNNNNNNNNNNNNNNNNNNNNNNNNNNNNNNNNNNNNNNNNNNNNNNNNNNNNNNNNNNNNNNNNNNNNNNNNNNNNNNNNNNNNNNNNNNNNNNNNNNNNNNNNNNNNNNNNNNNNNNNNNNNNNNNNNNNNNNNNNNNNNNNNNNNNNNNNNNNNNNNNNNNNNNNNNNNNNNNNNNNNNNNNNNNNNNNNNNNNNNNNNNNNNNNNNNNNNNNNNNAAAAAAAAAAGAAGUUAUUUUGAUUAGAAAAAGUUACAGUCAUAGAAUUUGGUUUAAAAAAUGAAAUGUCUAUUAUUUGUCAUAAGAUCUAUUUUAGGAAUGGUUAUAAAAAUAAUCCAAAGUUGGCUAGAUAGACUUACAAAAUCAUUGGUGAGUCUCUACUUUUAAUAAGUUAUAAAGAAUAUAUGUUACAAUACAUCACCUAACCUCUUUGGUUUUUAGAGUCUUCAUCUAUAAUAUUAAGUGUUUUUUUACAAUGCUUCAAACUCUAAAUUAUGAUUCGGAUGUCUCUGAACAUUAAGAUUCAACAUUCUGAUAUUAAGAUUAUAAAGUACAUAUUCAAGGACCAAUUAAAUUGUUGUAGUAUAAUUUUAAAAUUUGAGGUCUUAAGAAUUUAAAUGUACAUCCUUUGUAACUGUAAAAUUUGUAAAACUCCCUUUUUUCUUUAUUUCUCAAUAAUUACACCAGGCAGUAUAGAAUUUUUUAGUGGACUCAUUUACAAUACUGAAAUGGAGUAGGGAUCAUGAAUUUUAUAUAUAAAAUGUAAUAUAAGCACUAAUAUUAUAGGAUUUGUUUGUUAGUAUAAUCAUUAUCAUCAGGCAACAUUUAUUCAGAAUUCACUAAUGAAGAUCUCUGUACCUUGACUGAGAAAACAUUUGGUUAUAUUCUUUAACAUUCUGCAUUAACCAUAUUUUUGACUUAGUAUUAAUCUCCUUCUUCUCCUUCACAUUAUUGCCAAUAAACUAUUUCAGAUUUGUAGGAUACUUGAGCCAACUCUACUAUUUGGGAAUUGGAGACAGAGCAUUUCUACUAAGAGUCUGUAAAUUUUACUUGUCAUUACUGUUUUCAAAACAUGAGAUUGUUUUUGAAUGCAAAUAUAUUAUCCCAAAGUAUAUUUUUAGUUUGAGUUUUCUUUCCUAAGGAAAUAUCAAAUCCUAUGUCUCAAAUGUGCUAAAAUUAGAUAUGUUAUUCCUUAAGGACAGUAUUUUUAAGUAAAUGUCUUUGUAAUGACAAGGGCUGCAUAAAUUCAUUACUAUAAUAUCAAAUUAGAAAAUGGGGUGACACAGUUCCAGUAACUCAAUGAUAUAUGAGUCUACAUACAAUCAAUUUAUAUACAAUCUGUAUUUAAGAAUUAAUGAUCUGGAUAUAGAAAAAUGUAUUUAAUAUGUAGGUAAGGAUUAAUAUUCUGAAUAUAGCAAAAUAUAUUUCAUACGUAGAUUAAGAUUAAUAUUCUGAAUAUAGAAAGAAGUGUAUUUAAUAUGUAGGCAAGAAUUAAUAGUGUGUAGGUAGAAAAACAUGUUUGAGGCUGGAUAGAAUCUUAUAAAUCCUCUAUGUUAGGCUCUUCAUCUUGUACAUGAAAUAGAAAACACAAGUUAAGUAAAGUGAUGUCCUUAAAACCACAUAAUUUACUAUGUUAGAACUGAAACUAGAUCCUCAUCUGACCUUUUCUUUACUGCUUUGUCUGGGACAAAUACACAUACACACACAUACACAAAAGCCUAUUGAAAUCGUAAAACUUCAGAAUAAAGUAAAUCAAAAGUUAACUAUUCCUACUUUUGACUGGUAGGUGAAUUAUAUAUCCUGCAUUCUAUUCAAACACCAUUCGAUUUUCGCUGAUAAUUUAUUACUAACUUACUUCUGACUGUGUAACAGGAGAAUAAUUUUCUCUUUAUUUUUUUUUAGAAAUCUCAGUACUCAAUGUUUAGUCAUUAAGUUUCUUUCUAGCUAUAAAAAUAUCCAAAAAAGAUAUUAUUGACCAUCAUAUCUAUAAUAAUGAUAAAUUAACUAACAUGUAUUAAAUACUCUUUUAAACAUUUUCUGUAUAUUAGCUCACUAUUUCUUCACUAGACAUUUGUCUAUUUGUAAACAAAUCAUUCAUGCAUUUAUUUAUUCAUUCAACAUACUCUCAAAGAAAUGGGUACUGUAGGCUAUUUAUUUAUUUAUUUAUUUAUUAUUUUUUACAUUUAUUUGUUUUGAGAGACAAGAGAGUGUGAGUGAGUGAGGGGCAGAGAGAGAGAGAGACAAACAGAAUCCAAAGGAGGUUCCAGGCUCCAAGCACAGAGCUUGACACGGGGCUCAAACCCACGAACCGGGAGAUCAUGACCUCAUCUGACUGAAGUCAGACCUUUACUGACUGAGCCACCCAGGUGCCCCUAGACUUUUUAUUUUUAAGCGAAGGACAAAGAGAUAUUAAUGAAAGAUGAAGACAAAGUGUUAUUAUUUUUACAAGCACCUUUUCCUAUACUUUCAAAUAAAAGAAUUUCCUUCACAGUGGACUCACACUAAACUUUUAGAAAACUGUUGCCAUUCUGUUGACAAGAAAAUUCCUGACCACAAAAUAUAUAUUGAAGUAUAAAAAGUAAAAUUAAGAGAUAUAUAUUUCUUCUAAAAUGUUUCCUCAUGUGUAAUAUAGCAAAAAUACACAAAGACUUAAAUUAUUAAGAUGUCUUGUGCAUUGUAAUAUAUUAGUAGUUCAUUUUUGUUCAGUUGGAUCAAAGGUAAAUAUAUUAAGCAUGCAUUUUAUCUUAUUUUAUUUUAUUUUAUUUUUUUUUUAAUGUUUUAUUUAUUUUUGAGACAGAGAGAGACAGAGCAUGAACGGGGGAGGGGCAGAGAGAGGGGGAGACACAGAAUGGAAGCAGGCUCCAGGCUCUGAGCCAUCAGCCCAGAGCCCGACGCGGGGCUCGAACUCACGGACCGCGAGAUCGUGACCUGGCUGAAGUCGGACGCUUAACCGACUGCGCCACCCAAAUUGGUUUCCAUACAACACCCAGUGCUCAUCCCAAAAGAUGCCCUCUUCAAUACCUAUCAUCCACCCUCUCCUCCCUUNCGCCCCCCCGGCGCCCCUUUUUUUUUUUUUUUUUUUUUAACGUUUUUUAUUUAUUUUUGAGACAGAGAGAGACAGAGCAUGAACGGGGGAGGGGCAGAGAGAGAGGGAGACACAGAAUCGGAAACAGGCUCCAGGCUCUGAGCCAUCAGCCCAGAGCCUGACGCGGGGCUCGAACUCACGGAGCGCGAGAUCGUGACCUGGCUGAAGUCGGACGCUUAACCGACUGCGCCACCCAAAUUGGUUUCCAUACAACACCCAGUGCUCAUCCCAAAAGAUGCCCUCUUCAAUACCUAUCAUCCACCCUCUCCUCCCUUCCACCCCCCAUCAACCCUCAGUUUGUUCUCAGUUUUUAAGAGUCUCUUAUGCUUUGGCCCUCUCCCACUCUAACCUCUUUUUUUUUUCCUUCCCCUCCCCCAUGGGUUUCUGUUAAGUUUCUCAAGAUCCACAUAAGAGUGAAAACAUAUGGUAUCUGUUUUUCUCUGUAUGGCUUAUUUCACUUAGCAUCACAGUCUCCAGUUCCAUCCACGUUGCUACAAAGGGCCAUAUUUCAUUCUUUCUCAUUGCCACGUAGUAUUCCAUUGUGUAUAUAAACCACAAUUUCUUUUUUUUCAAUAUAUGAAGUUUAUUGUCAAAUUGGUUUCCAUACAACACCCAGUGCUCAUCCCAAAAGGUGCCCUCCUCAAUAUCCAUCACCCACCUUCCCCUCCCUCCCACUGCCCAUCACAAUUUCUUUAUCCAUUCAUCAGUUGAUGAACAUUUAGGCUCUUUCCAUAAUUUGGCUAUUGUUGAGAGUGCUGCUAUAAACAUUGGGAUACAAGUGCCCCUAUGCAUCGGUACUCCUGUAUUAAGCACGUAUUUUAUGCUCACCUUUCUGUCUCCUCACAUCUCUGGUUAUAUAGUAAGGAAUGUCCUGUGCAAUGUGUAAUUUUGAAUCUCUUUCCUAAGUCAAAUAUCAGUUUAUGAUGAAGUCAUGUUUUGUUUUCUAACCAUAAUAUUUUUUUCUAGAAGAACAAUUUCUUGGUUAUUAUUUUUAUGGUUGUUUAUCUCAGUACAUUCAGUGCUAAUAUGACUAGGAAUGAAGUACUGGUUUACUCCUACCCCUUCACAUUUUGGAUGGCAAGAUACCUUGCUACCAGUCAACAUUUUUAUGGCCCUGAUAUAUCUCUUGUGUAGUCUAAGAAUACACAUGUAUUGAAAGCAUUGUCAGGAUAUUUUUGAUAACUGAGGAUGGGGUAAAGAUGAUAGCUUGAAAGAAUAAAAUAAAAAGGAGUGAGAAAAACCUAAAUUUCUGGAAGACUUAGUUUGUGAAGAAUUUUUCCGUGUUCUGGCCCCCUUAUCUGAAUUAAGGUUAGGAUAUCAUUUAGAGGAAUUCUCUCUCAGAUUGCAUUGCUGUAAAUUACAUAUGAAUUGUUCAGAGUAAAUAACAUGGGAGAACAAAGGAGGUGACAAUAAUUUUUAUGACAGCUCUCAAACAAGGUUGUCAAAGGAUUUGAUUGAGCAAGGUCCAUAAUAGCAGGACCUAGGUUCUGGCCACUAUAGUUUCACAAAGCCUGAUUAGUGUUUGGCAUAUAGUAGAAUACAUACAGCAAGAAAUAAAAAUUUCCAAGAUGGUAGUAUAGCGUUUUUUUCCAUUGGCAUGUUGCUUUCUGGUGGUUCUUGGCCUAUUUUAUUUUGGAAGUGUGCUUGCCAUAGCUGGAUUUUUUUAAGUUUAUUUAUUUAUUUUGAGAGAGAGAUAAAAUGUGUGUGCUAGUGGGGGAGGGGCAGAGAGAGAGAAUCCCAAGAAGACUCUGUGCUCUCAGUGUGGAGCCCCACAAUGUGGGGCUCAAUCUCAGCAACCGUGAGAUCAUGACCUGAGUCAAUAUCAAGAGUUGGGGGCUUAACCUACUGAGCCACCCAGGUGCUCCAGUCAUAGCUGGAUUUUAAUCCCAGCCUUUCUUUUCUUAUUUUAGCCAAAAGCAAAGAGUACCAUUAUUGUGGCUUGGACUUGUGGAAGGUAUGCAAGAGAAAACUAUGGACAAUUUAAUAAUCACUGGGGCAAAGAAUAAAUUAGAAUUGUUUACUGUAAAACCAAAACUCAGGCUGUAUAUUAGCCGAGGUGAAUUUAAGAAAUUAAGAUGAUGCAGAGCUAUGAGUGAUUAGAUAGAUAGAUAGAUAUAGAUAUAGAUAUAUAGACAGACUUAUGCACCCAGAAUUCAGUAUCUUUCUUAAAGCUUUCUUAAAACUUCCACUAAAGACUACUACUCUGUUCAUGAAUUUCUAUAAUUAACAAAGGAAAACAAAAUGGAAUAUACAUGCUUGAGCCAUUCAGGAAUAGCAUUCAUACAUAAACAUCAAAUGUCUGCAGUUUAGUUCUCCUUUCAAGACAUAAUACAGAAGACAGGCAGAAUUAAUUACAUGGAAGGUAUUGCAGAAAAAAUUUUCUAUUUGAUAUGGAAUCAGCUAUAGGAAGUCGUAUUGCCCAUAGGUGAAUCAAAAUAUGGAAAAAAAGUCUAAUUCUGAAAGGCAAGUCUCACUAGAAUCUCUCUGCUAAAUUAAUUCAUAAAACAGUUUAGAUCUACUUGACCUGGGUCUCUAGACAGAGAUGUUCACAUAUUCUUAUGACUGGGACAAUGCUGAAGUAGGAGAAUUGACUAGUAUAUGGAGAUUGAAUAGAAAAGAAAAACCACUACCUGUUUGGAGUUUUAUUUUAUUUAUAAUUUGUUAAACCCAAAUGUGAGACAGGGAGCAUAAAAUGGGAGUAAGAAGUGAAACAAAGUGGGAAAGAAGGACACUUGAUAUAAUUAGUUUUUCCCUAAGAGUCAGGAACUUUGAGCAACUUCUUCACAGUACUUUAAUUCUUAGGAUAUUUCUAUUUGAGGAGAUGAGUUAAAAGAGGGAGGAAUGACCUUUGCCCUGUAGCUCACGCUUCCCCAGUCUGUCCUCACCAACACUCUGAGCAUCCGUAGUAUUCUUCCCCAAACUCUCUUACUGAAGUAUCGGUUCCUUAGAGUUCCCAACCAAAAAUUCCAGUUUGAUAAUGGUUAGAAGUUAAUUUGAAACAUGUUUUAUUCAAAAUGCUUAGAAAUAGCGGUAAAAUAAUACAAUUAAGGCAAAGCAUGUGAAUUCCCCAGUAUUCUUGAGUAAGGGAUGAGGGGGUUGAAGAAUGUACAUAUUAGUUAACCACCCAAAGAGAGUUGAAGUAUUCUCUGAUUUGCCAUAUGAACAGAAUACAUGAUUCCCACAGGAAAGUUCGUCAUCAGAAGCUCCUAGCUAUUUUUUCAAAUGACACUCAGAAACAUUUAUGUGGUAGACAAUGCUGAGCAAUUGAACAGUAUUUAUUUUAGACAACUUAUAAUGUAUUUUUUCAAAAUUCAAGUCUUGCAAUAAAAAGCAAAAGUGGAACUCUCAUUUUAUUGUUAUUGUUUUCAUUUUAAAUUUUUUUAGAGUUUAUUUUAAAGUAAUCUCUACACCCACAAUGGGGCUUGAACCUACAACCCAAUGUUCCAGAGUCUCAUGUUGUACUGACUGAGCCAUCCAGGAGUCCCAAAAGUGCAACUCUUAGAAGUCAAUUAGAAUACGUUGGCUGAACAUCUAUGAAAUAGUAGGAUUAAACUAGUCCCACCUAGAUAAGAAGAUGAAUGUAAUUUCUAGAAGAAAUGGUGAUCACUGAUAAAAAACAUGAUACCUGUGCUGUGAAGAAGGAAAUAAUUGAAAUUAGCCAAUGGAAUAAGGGUUGGAAGGGCAUUCAUGCAGAAGAAACUAUAUGGAAAAACUUAACCCAUGAAUAGACAUCUGAAACAGAAGAGAUAUUUUAACUGUAAUGACCAUUUUUUGGUGAGCUCCCCAAUAGGACAUUUACACUUAGAUUAAUAGAGAUGGGAGAAUAAUCCACUUGCAGCUGACUGGCUAAUUAAGCACUUUAUGGAUUCAAGUAACUAUUAAGCUUAAGGGGUUAUCUUGUCAAGGCUAAGAACUAGAAAAAGAGAUCUCAGAAGGAAGGAAUCAGAAGAAAGGGAGUGGAUCUGAAAUCAAACAGAGAAGCAGAGAAGAAAAGAUUUGCUGAUUCCCAUUUUAGAGAGAAUUGAGAGAAAAUAGUAGUGUUGGCCUGGCAAAUAGAUUGCAUAUACAGUAUAUAUCUAAGUUUGUAUAUGCCUACAUGAGAAAAAUAUAUUUCAAUUUUAAGAGAUAUCCAAUGAGAGUGUAGCAAAAUUUUUGGUAUGGGACAAAGAGUACAUUUCUAACAAUCUAUUAAAGUAAUUAAAUGUUUGGGAUUGCUAGGAUUUUUUAAUAAACUAAGUUAUAAGGUCACUUCUUCUGUACAGGUAAGCUUUCCAUUCUUUCUUUUCUUUCCUUCUAAUCUACUCAUUUUCUCCAAAAAGGAGUCUCUCACUACUUACCCCUUAGGAUUACCCUCCUUAAAAUACUGGUAAAGCAGCUUGCUUUAAAUACUAGAACUUAUAUUGCUUUCCUUUUAGAAGUUUUACCAAUUAUCACAGUAGAUAAUCAGAGAAAAUAAUAACAUAUGUGAAAGUUACCAAUAUUUUACAAUACUGUGCAUUUCACAUCAUUUGUUUAGAGACAGUAAAUAUCUGAUAUUUCCUUAGCAACUCUCUUUGCCUGGGAUGUUUGAUAUACCUCACCAUUCAGUUAUAACACUCUUUUCCCACUGAACAUAGAAUUGGCCUUGGAAAUCUUUUUAGCUCAGCAGUGUAGAUGACCCCUGCCAAUUGAAUUGACAAAAUAUACACCUUUUGUACACUUUUACUAUCCAAGAUGGUGGGUUUCUUUUUUAAGUUUAUUUAUUUAUUUUAAGAAAGAGUGAGCGAGCGAGAGAGAGAGAGAGAGAGAGAGGGGGAAGGGAUGAGAGAGUGAUAGAGGCAGAAUCCUAAGCAGGCUAUGCAAUGUCAGCUCAGAGCCUGAGGCAGGACUUGAACUAAUGAAUUGUGAUAUCAUAACCUGAGCUGAAGUCGAGAGUUGGACACUUAACAGACGGAGCCACCCAGGUGCCCCAGUGUGGUUUUUGAUAAACAUACAUGUUGUAGAGUAGCAAUAAUAAUUUGCUCCUCCAAAAUUUAAAGAGUAAAAUUAGGAAAUGAAGAGAAAUUGAAACAAGGUAAAAUACUUUCUUCAGGUGACUCACACACGACUUAGGUUUCCUUAUUAGAUCCACAAAACCCCUAAUCCAGAAACAUUAUAUGUGAUCUUCUAUGUUGAACUUUGUGGUAUUGGAAGGAAAAACUACACUUAGAACAUACAUAAAAAUUGUUUUCAUACAACUUUUAUGACAUUUUCCUUAUUGAUUUGUCAUAUAUUUCUGUGAAUGUCUUUUAAAAAAUAAUUUGAGUUUCUCAAGACAGUGACCAGGUCUUAUUAUCUGUUUCCUAAAAAUCUGGAAUGACGACAAGGUGAUCACAGAAGGGUGACCAAUGAAUCCAAGCAUUCCUAAGCUAUCAAGUUGUCUAUGAUUUAAAAUUCUUUAUAUCUGUAAAACAAAAACAAUUUAAAUGAUAUGUACUCUCAUUUUCAGAUAAUAAGUGUUGAAAAGAAUAGUUUGGUUCUACUUCAUGAGGUAGAUUAUGUAGAAUGUGUUUAACGUGUUGGGCAUCCAGAGUGAAAGACUGAGACAGUGCUCAAAAAAGGGAGUGGUUUCCAUAUUCUCCAUGAGGUUAGAAGUGAGUCAAAAAUUAUCCUGAGUGAGUCAGCAAUAUUUUCAUUUUUCUGUUUUUUUCUUCAUAUUUAACAAAUGAGAUAUCCAAAAUAAAUUUCUAAUUGGCUUCAGUCUUUGGAGGUAACAAUAUUGCACUUUUGUCCUAACUUUGGAAAGGAAUAGAAUAGAGAAAAUCAAUGAGAGACCUUUCUUCUCUGCUCUUUUUCUGGGGUUUCUUCAUAGGUAUUUUGAUAACAGAGAAGGUACCCAAUAAUUUAUUUUUAAUAAAACUUGAAAUUUAGUUGUAGUAUCUCAACUAAUUCUAAUUCUCAUCCACAAUAAUCAAAUCUAUCUUUUUCACAGUUAUAUUACAGUAACUAGAGCAUUAAUAGACACAUUGAUAAGUAUUUGAUUAAUUUCUAUUGAAUUCAUCUUAUGUUGAGACAGUUAUAAAUGGUCUUCCUCUAUGUCAGAUGAUGGCAAAAUUCUCAAUUAUGUGCUUACCAGCAAAUAUUUAACUUUCUAAGUCCUUAAUUUUAAAUUCAUAUUUUGAGAGUGAAGAAAUUGGGUAUGGAAGGAAACACUUCUUGAAUAAUGUCUAUUACUUUGUUCAGGAAGCUUUGCUAAGAUUCUAAAUAUCUAUGCAUGUUUUGAUAGUAAACACCUUUACCGCUAUAGAAUAAGUAUGGCUAAUGUUCACUGGGACUCUUUUAUACCCAUAUUCUGAGUGCCUUAUUUGGGUGUAAUAAGAGAGAAUCAAUGGACUGUUGCUCCUAAUGUUUGCUUAUGGGAUCUGAGGAAAAACUUUCAGCUGCUCUUCUCCAAUAUCUGCUGUAAUAAACCAUGGAAAACAUAUGGAUGACCUCAGAAAUAACUCCAAGCUACACAGAAAAAAAUAGAAAUGCACUUUGACUUUUUAACAUAGGAUAUGCAUUUUUUAUUUGAAACUUACUUGAGAGUGCACACCUUUCUUAAAGGUACAACUAAGCUAGAUAAGGUAAUUUUCAAACAAGUCAGUUAAUUGUCAUUAUUUAUGUUAAAAUUUAUUUUAAAUAAAAAUGUUACGGAUUAUGAAAUCACCUGACAACUCUGGAUCUCAGUACUUUUAUGUAUAGAAUUAAAUAUUCUCAAUGGUAAUAUCAGUCUAAUAUUCUGUUUUGGAUUUUUCUUUGCACUGAGAUUCUUGUAUUGGGAACACUAAAAUGAUAAAUGUGGUUAUAUGAAACACAUAUUCUUGCAAUAUCUCAUGAAUAACAGAAGGUUAUUUUCAAACUUGGCCACUUAGCAACUUAUACCCAUAAUCUAGAAACUGUUAAAGUUUCUUAGAGACACUGGCCUCAGGAGAAAUCAGUAGAUAGCAUUUUAUGUGUGUGUGGUAAUACACCAGCUUUUUCUAUCCACUAUCCCUUUGAACAUUCAACCAAGAACAGAAAUGUUCUUACUCUUAAUAAGCCUUAGUAAUCAAGACUGUGCAGAAGGAUUCUUUAUUCCUUAUUUCAGCAAUACCUGAGUUAAGACAGAAGAUCUGUGAACUGUGUUCUCCUAAGAAAUCAUUUACAAUGGAGAUCCUUUUUUCUUUCUCUAUUUUGUCCUUUGGUAUCUUCAGUAUACCAGGUAACAUAAAUGUUAUUGCCACAGGGGUCGGCACUAAGUGGAGUGGGGGGUUGGUGUCAGGAUUUUUUAAGUAAAUAUCAUUAACAUUAUAUAAUAAUUAUAUUAAUACUAUCAGCAAAAUCAUAUUAUAUUUAUUUACAGCCCCAGAUGGAGAAAAUAUUUGAAUAAUUUUUCAAAAACAAUUGCCUAGUAAAGGUUAUGAUUCACUCUGAUUACAUGAAAUUAUAUAUAUAUUACAUACAUUAUAUAUAUUUAUACAUAUAUGUACUACAUAUCAUAUAUAUAUAUAUGUCUAUAUAAGCCAUUGGAAAAAAAUAGCACUACCAUGAUUUAAUCAAUCCUCAAAAUGUGUUGUUUUUUAAUACUCAAAUUCUACUAAAUUUAAUAUACGAGUAGAUUUGAAAAAAUUUGAGAACAGAAUGAAUGUAUGGUUGGAAAUUAUUCCUUUCACAUUGAUAGUAUUGAUAGCAGAAGGUAAGUGAGGUUACAUAGCUUGCUGGAAGUCCAAAGACUAGCGGUGCAUCUGCCCUCUUCCAUUUAAAUUCUUCUUUAUUUUGCUAAUUUCCUGGGUCACCAAGAUAUCUGUCAUUAUUGAGAUAAGUGGAGAUCACCAUAAAGUAAACCUAUAGUAUUCCCUUCUCUUACUGCUACUCUGCUCUGACACUCAAACAGAAAUAAUUUUUUAACUGACAAUUUCUCAUCAAAAAAGAGCUAAACUUCAAUUGAUAGCGUAACUCAAGGAAUUGGAGUUAAUUUAAAUGCGAAUAAUUUUUUCCUUCAUCAUCUUUGUAAAAAUUUAUUAGAACAUGGUCAUUAAAAUUCUUUCUAUUCCUAGAAAUUUUCUGAGAUAUUCUUUAGAAUUACAUCAAUUUAAAUUUGCACCGAUGCUUUUUUCUUAAUAGUAAUGAUUUUAAUAGCUAGCAUCUGUUCUGCCUUUUGCCCUUAUUAAUUUAUUGCUCCUUGCAAUAAUCAUGUGAGAUAAUGAUUAAGUCAUUCAUUGACUUAUUCAAUCAAAUUUUAAAGAAGUAUAUUCUACAAGCUUAUCAUCUUUAAAAACCUCUUAUAGUAUGCAGAACCAUGAAAUAAAGAGAAAUACAUUAUUGUUCUAAUUUUGGAAAAUACUCUUUUUGUAUGCUUUUAAAGUAUUUUUUUUUCUUUUGCAGUGGGCUGUGACCAACCUGUUACCCCUUCUAUGCCAUUAUCAAUGAUCAUAUGUACUAAAAGGUUUGAAAAACUAUACUCAGAGAUACAUAAUUCUUCCACAAUAUCUGAAAAGGCAGAAUACAGUACAAAGGAAAACAAAGCAGGUAAAAUAAAACAAGUAGAAUUAUAACUUGCACAAUUUAAUCACUAUCUAUCAAAAGAAAUGGAGGAAAUAUCCUAAGUAUGUUCUCUGUCCUACUCCCCAUUUUCCUAGCUCUUCUUGUCUUUAAACUUCUAGUUUUAUGAAAGUUGAAUUUUAUGGUCAGAAUGCGAAAGAAGUCUCAUUUUAAAGUCACAGGGUCUUAUUUUUUAUGAAACUCUAUCUAGACAGAUGUUCUUAUAUUUCCAAGAGGAAACAUUCUCCAAUCAUUGCUUCCAGCAUCCUAAAUAUUUUAAAACAUGUUGUCGAUGCCACUAUGCUUGAGUCAGAUUGUUGUCUUAAUUUCCCUCUAUGUGACAGCUGGCAAAAUUUCUUUUUAUCAGUCACCACUAUUCAUUGCCCAUAAGCCUGGAAUCUUUGGAUACACAAAAUAUAUUGUUAGAUAGAAAGAGUAAUUAAGAUAUUCUUAUUAAUUUCAAGGAUGGUGUAAUUAAGAUAACUUGAAAAGGCAAUUGAACAUGAAAAGUCCAGACUAAGUGUUAGGGAUUUAUUUAAAAAAGGAAUUCUUCUCUAUUUUAGUCUUUAUCUCAAUUAUGAUUUAGAAUAUCACUUGGCAAAGUGUCUUCUCAAGUUAGAAUGUUAUAAACAUUGUAGAAUGUUGUAGAAUGUCAUCACACCAUGAGAGUGAUACAAAUAAAUUUCUAUGGGAAGGCAAAGAAAGAGAGUUAUCUUUGUAAUGGUGUUCAGACAAAGACCUAGUGAUGAAGUCAUUGGUCAAAUUAUUUUAUACAUGGGUCACGUGUUUUGUCUUCUUGUUAUGUUUCAUUUUGUUUUUGGACACUAUGUCAUUGCUGAAGCCUGUCACGGUAGGCCUAUACCACACAUAUGUAUACAUAUAUAUUUGGAGUAGGUGCUCAGUUAACAUUUAUUUAAUUAAUAAAUGGAUAGAGGGAGAGAAGAAAAUCAAGAAAUAUUUAGAGAGCAGAAAGAGAAAAAAAAGGAAGACAAGGAUAUUUGGAAAACAAGCAAAAAGGACAGAAGUAUGUAAGAAAUUGCUGAUUUGCCUGACCAAAUUUGAGGAUUAUUCUCUGAAGAUGAGGUGACAUUAGCUAAGUCAGACUGUACUCAGAUUUGUGAUAUAAUAUUUAAACUGUAUAGAAAAAUAACUUGUUCUUUUGUUAUUCUAUUUGUUGUUACAUUUGGUUGUAUCCCACUUCACUUUGAUUAUCGUAUAAAGAAAGUAGAUGUAUCCUUCAUUGCAGUUAUGUGUAUUCAGUAACAGCUGCUGUUUUGAGACACUAAAAAAAUAAAUAAAUGGCACGCCUUUGGCUAUCAGAUAUUGUUAACAAUGUGUAUAAGGGGAAAAGUCUACAUUUAUUUAAAUGUAAAACAAUAAAAAAAAUCACACUUAUUCACUAUGACUGGACAUGCAUAGGUUUAAAUUUUCCCGUGGUUUAUAAUCUGCAGUUCUGGAGUGCUUACUCCUCAAAGUCAAAAUUACCUUGGUUGUCAUAUAAAUUGAUUUACCUACACAUCUCUAUCUCUAAGUGUCUAUUUUUACUUCUCUAUAUAUCUAUCAAUAUUUCUCUACCUAUACCUGCAUUUAUAUGAACUUAGACAAUUACAUUAUUUUUAACAUGAAAAUAAUUUAAUUUAGAUUCAUUACAGAGUUACACUAAUAUACAGAGAUAAUGUACAUUAUCUCUGAUCAUCUUCAUCUCAAACUUAGACUUUAAGACUCACAACCUUCUAAGGUUCUUCUCUCUUAGCUGUAGCACCACUUGAUUAACACCUCAUGUAAAAAGUUCCCUCAGUUCUUAUAUAUAUCAGCUGGGCCAAGCCAUAGAAUGGAAUAUUAAAAUUACAACAUUUAAAACUGGCAAAGUGUUUGUAUCUGAAAUUUAUAAAGAAUUCUGAUAAAUCAAAAGAAAAAGAAAAUCCAGUAGAAAUAUGGGAAAAAAAGACUUAGGUAAUUUGUAAAAGUGGAUAUACAAACCUACUUAAAGUGCUUAUUAUCCUCAUUAGCAAUCAGGAAAAUGCAAAUUUAAACCAUGAUAUUACACCACCACACAUUCAAAUAAUGUUUAAAAUUGUUAUAGUUAGAUAAUGCAAAGUACGGUAAUGCAAAUGGAACAGCAAGAAUUUUCAUACACUACUGAGCAGAGUGAAACUGAUAGGACCCUUUUGGAAAAUGAUUUUUAAUAAGCUAUUAUAGAUGAAGACAUGUGUAUUCUAUGAUCUAGGAUUUCCAUUGUGAAUAUAUCUACCCAACAGAAGACUGUUGCGUGUGCUCCAAGAAAGAAUACAGGAAUAUUAAUAGCAAAUAAUUGAUAAUUAAUGGCAAAUAACCUAUAUGGUCAUCAAAAUUAUAAUAGAUGAAUAAAGAGAAUACCAUAAGGGUAGUAUUUCUACUUUAUUUAAAAUAUACAUAAUAUAUAUAACCCGUAUAAAAUAUUUUACUGGAAAAAAAUGGACGGGGGUUUGCUUAAUUUUAUAAUUAAAAGGUCUCUGGGAUGAAAGCAUGUCUAUAAACAUCAGUGACAAUGACUCACCGAUUCUGGCUGAUCUUCUAAAAUAUGUCCAGUAGGGCCUAAUUAUAUUUACCCAGGAUGAUAGAUAUGUAUUUCUUUGGUAAGGUAUUUCAUGAUCACUAUGAAAGCUUUAAAUGUUAAGAAGGAAUUUAUUAUAAUGAGCUAAAACCUGAUUCCUUGUUAAUCUACACCAUUUACUUAUAAUUUUGUUUUGGGAGACACAGGGAAUAAAUGUAAACCUUCACCUGCAUUCCAGAACUUCUAUAAGUAACAGAGACAUUGGAUCCUUAUCUCAUUCCUCAUGAUUUUUGAAGUUACAAAAUCAAAGCAAAUACAGUGCAAAGUGAAAGAGUGAAAAAUUUUAAACUUUCUAUAGCUUCAGAAACUAUAGUAGGGGAGAAAAUGAAAAGUAGUACUGAAAAGUUAAGAGACUUGCUGAAAUCUUAACUAUGUUCAUCUCUUUUGUUUAUUUAUUUUCUGUUCAUUAUGUUAAUCUUCCAAAUUGUCUGUUUUUAGGUGAACAUCUCCUGGGAGUGAAGGUGGGGUGUAGAUCAAAGAAUAGUUGGGAUAUUUAAUAAAAUUAAAAAAAAAAACAGUAUAUUUUAGUACUUUAGAACCAUUGAAGUCAAGUUUCAAUGAACAAUGAAGUCUUGAGGAGGAAAAUUCACAGAACAGAAUUAAACAUGAAUAAUUAAUGAGACAGAAGAUGGAGAUUGGCCCACUCAUAUUCAGUGAGGAUAAGCAAGAGAGAUAGAAGGUAUUAAUACAUUUCAGGCUCUCCAGAUAUCCCCUAUUGAGUCACUACUUGAUCAAUUGAAAUGUGUAGGGGUGGGACAUCUAGUUUAGGAAUUGGACACUGGCUGAUGUCCUUGGUUUUCUCUGUUAUAUAUAGGGACAGAAAGAUUUCAAUGAAAAAAACAGGUGAAUCCCUCUCCUUUUUCUUCCCUCUGUGGUCAGUGCUUCUUUGUGUAUCUUCUUUUAAAUGUUGACAUUUCUUACGUUAAUUUUUAACUCCAUCCAUUUUUGCCUUCUUUCAGCUAGAAUUAAAGAGCACUAUGAUGUUUUUGAUCCAUGGAAAGCCUGUAUAAAGCUUAAUGGUCAAUGUAAAAAUCAAUGUGGUGAAAAUGAAUUUAAGAUGUCGUACUGUGCAAGACCUGAAACUCUUUGCUGCUUGAAAGAAUGCGGCCCUGUCGAGUAAUUGAAGAGACUCAUUCACAAAAAACACCAACAAAGGGCGCCUGGGUGGCUCAGUCAUUGAGUAUCCGACUUCAGCUCAGGUCAUGAUUUCACAGUUGGUUUGUGGGUUCAAGCCCCUCAUUGGGCUCUGUGCUGACAGCUCAGCACACUCUUCCCCCACUCACACCCUGUCUCCCUCUGUCUCUCAAAAAAUGAAUAAAACAUUUAAAAAAAAAGGCCAACACUAACUAAAUCUUCUUAUUACUUCAUUAUCUCUAUUACUUCAUUCACGGCCUAGUAUUUCUGUCCAUACAUGUCUAUAAUGAAUAAAAAACUAAAUAAAAUAUAUUUCAGUCUGGAUCAUUCAUGAACCUUGUUUCUGCUUGGAAAAAAGAGAAGAAUACAGAGUGGGACUUUUAAUUCAGGAAUAGAAAUAGUAGAGAAGAAAAGUCCAUGGUGGGACUACUGUGUUAAAUGAGAUUUCGGGGGGCAAUUCUAUACUGAGUGUGGCAAGCAUGUUGUAAAUGAUUGGUGAUGUAUAUAAAGCAUUCUUUGAGGCGCCUGGG